CCUGGUGGCGCAGCGGUUAAGCGUUUGGCUGCAAACCAAAAGGUCGGCAGUUCAAAUCCACCCACCAGCU
rnacentral:tRNA from 1 species